UCGGUGAUGACCACCUUCGAGCACGUGUUAGACUGCUGACCAGGAUGAUCACGCCACUCGCAGUCUGAGU
rfam:Erinaceus europaeus unplaced genomic scaffold scaffold00199, whole genome shotgun sequence